rnacentral:rRNA from 1 species
AUUGAACGCUGGCGGCAUGCCUUACACAUGCAAGUCGAACGGCAGCACGGGGGCAACCUUGGUGGCGAGUGGCGAACGGGUGAGUAAUGCAUCGGAACGUGCCCAGUAGUGGGGGAUAACUAGUCGAAAGAUUAGCUAAUACCGCAUACGACCUAUGGGUGAAAGCGGGGGAUUCGCAAGAACCUCGCGCUAUCGGAGCGGCCGAUGUCUGAUCAGCUAGUGGCGGGGUAAAGCCCACCAAGGCGACGAUCAGUAGCUGGUCUGAGAGGACGACCAGCCACACUGGGACUGAGACACGGCCCAGACUCCUACGGGAGGCAGCAGUGGGGAAUUUUGGACAAUGGGCGCAAGCCUGAUCCAGCCAUGCCGCGUGCGGGAAGAAGGCCUCGG